rnacentral:rRNA from 1 species
UACGUAGGGUCCGAGCGUUGUUCGGAUUUAUUGGGCGUAAAGGGUCCGUAGGCGGUCCGGAAAGUCUGAUGUGAAAGCCCACAGCUUAACUGUGGAACUGCAUUGGAAACUUCCAGACUAGAGUAUGAGAGGGGUAAAGGGAAUUCCCGGUGUAAGGGUGAAAUCUGCAGAGAUCGGGAGGAACACCAGUCGCGAAGGCGCUUUACUGGCUCAUUACUGACGCUCAGGGACGAAAGCUAGGGUAGCAAACGGG